UACGAAGGGGGCGAGCGUUGUUCGGAAUUACUGGGCGUAAAGGGCGCGCAGGCGGCCUUAGAAGUCAGAUGUGAAAGCCCCGGGCUCAACCUGGGAAUGGCAUUUGAUACUCUGAGGCUGGAGUACGGGAGAGGAGAGUGGAAUUCCCAGUGUAGAGGUGAAAUGCGUAGAGAUGUGGAGGAACACCAGUGGCGAAGGCGACUCUUUGGCCUAUAACUGACGCUGAGGCGCGAAAGCGUGGGGAGCAAACAGG
rnacentral:rRNA from 1 species